GGUGGGACUGGCUGGACUCUGGAUUGCUCUCUCUGGAUGUGUGGCUCUCCCCUCAGGAACUCCAGGAACUCCUGGUGCCGCCUGGGCCGAUGGAUUGGACGCCCCAGCCCCUCCGUUCCUGCCCAGCCACUGGGUCCGUGUCCAGUGGUGGCACUGCCAGCCCUGCAGUGGGAUGUAACCUGGAAACUGCAGAGAGUUGAGCCAAGGGAUUGAAAGGGACUAACCAAGGGAGGUGAAGAAAGAAGGAAGAAGGGAAGUGAGGCAGCAGGCAAGCAGCAGCAAGUUGCUGUGUAAGCAGGUGAGUUGUGUUGAGGUUCCUAAGGCAGGCACUGAGGACUUUGAGGGCUCCAGACAGAGCAGACCUGGGAAGGCCCUUGGUGAAGCCCCUUGGAAACCUUCUAAGGGUAGGUGUGUAUGGUAAUAAGUGUUGGAAAAUGUCCUGAAUAUGGAACAGGAAUGCAGGGAAGGAAAAUGAAUCCUCCUGUAAUGCUGCCAUAUCAGCUGCAGUGGAGAUACCUGUGUGCCCUUUGGGAGCUGAUUGCCAGGACUCCUGGCGGGCUGGAAUGGUUUAAGAGCAUAGGAAUUAAAGAUUGCCUGGCUUCUAAACCUCUCCAACUGAGACUUAGAGGCUUCUUUGAAGAGCUGAGUUGAGGCAGGAAAAUUGGCCCUGCAGGAGGGACUCUGUGCCUGCUCUCCCGUGGCUCCAAGGGAUCUCUGGCCCUUCACGCCGGCACCGAGAUUUUCUCGGGAAG